UACGGAGGGUGCGAGCGUUAAUCGGAAUUACUGGGCGUAAAGCGCAUGCAGGCGGUUUGUUAAGUCAGAUGUGAAAGCCCGGGGCUCAACCUCGGAACCGCAUUUGAAACUGGCAGGCUAGAGUCUUGUAGAGGGGGGUAGAAUUUCAGGUGUAGCGGUGAAAUGCGUAGAGAUCUGAAGGAAUACCAGUGGCGAAGGCGGCCCCCUGGACAAAGACUGACGCUCAGAUGCGAAAGCGUGGGUAGCAAAC
rnacentral:rRNA from 1 species